AAGAGUUGCAAAACUCCCACAAAACCAUCGCGAACGUUACCGUUUAUCGUUGCUUCGGCGGGCGAGGCGCUCCUCCUUCGGGAGGCCGGCGCCUUCCCUGGCCCCCUCGCGGGGCGCCUGCCGGAGGGACACAACUAAACUAUUAUCAUUAUUGGCCUCUCUGAGUACGAUUUUUAAAUAAGUCA
rnacentral:misc_RNA from 1 species